rnacentral:rRNA from 1 species
GACGAACGCUGGCGGCGUGCUUAACACAUGCAAGUCGAGCGGAGCGGCGAAGGGGUGAGUAACGCGGGAGUAACUGCCCCCCUCCCUGGGGUAGCAGUUGGAUACGGCUACUACUACCGGAUAGUGGGGGAUGACUCGGGUCCUAUCAGCUUGUUGGGGGGGUAGUGGCCUACCAAGGCGACGACGGGUAGCCGACCUGGGCGGGCGACCGGCCACAUGGGGCUGCGAGACGGCCCAAACGGCGACGGGAGGCAGUAGUGGGGAACAUUGCACAAUGGGGGAAACCCUGAUGCAGAAACGUCGCGUGCGGGAUGACGGCCUUCGGGGUGUAAACCGCUUUCAGCCAUGACGCGGUAGUGGCAGAAGAAGCACCGGCUAACUACGUGCCAGCAGCCGCGGUAAUAC